CCUACGGGUGGCAGCAGUGGGGAAUAUUGGACAAUGGGCGAAAGCCUGAUCCAGCCAUGCCGCGUGUGUGAAGAAGGCCUUCGGGUUGUAAAGCACUUUCAGUGGGGAAGAAAGCCUUGGGGCUAAUACCCUCGAGGAAGGACAUCACCCACAGAAGAAGCACCGGCUAACUCCGUGCCAGCAGCCGCGGUAAUACGGAGGGUGCGAGCGUUAAUCGGAAUUACUGGGCGUAAAGCGCGCGUAGGCGGUCUGAUAAGCCGGUUGUGAAAGCCCCGGGCUCAACCUGGGAACGGCAUCCGGAACUGUCAGGCUAGAGUGCAGGAGAGGAAGGUAGAAUUCCCGGUGUAGCGGUGAAAUGCGUAGCGAUCGGGAGGAAUACCAGUGGCGAAGGCGGCCUUCUGGACUGACACUGACGCUGAGGUGCGAAAGCGUGGGUAGCAAACAGGAUUAGAUACCCGUGUAGUC
rnacentral:rRNA from 1 species